GCCAUGGCAGCAGCCUGCAGAGGCUGUGGAGGGGCCUCCACACAGCUGUGAGUGACACAGAUGAUGUGCUGAUGAGCUGGAGGGAGCCCUGGACCUGACAGAUGCAGCACUGCUGGGAUCAAUACAGUCUCCUGCUCCAAAGUCAACUUUACACGUGGUGAAUGAACUGAGGAAAAAACAACACCCCACAAAAAUAACCAACACAGAAGAUAAUGAAGUGGCCUGUUUAGGACAUGGCUUCUUGUUUGCUGAUUUGAAAAGCAAAGCAGUGCUACUGUGACAGAUAAAGAAGCCUGUGCUGUCUCUCAGAAUAGCAUAUCCAGUAUAACGUGACACAGAUUAAUGGGUUUUCCCAAAAGAGAGGACUGAUCAAAUCUACAGCUGUGGGUUUGCACACAACAGAACCUAGGCACAUCCAUGCAGCCAGUCUGUAUCUGUUCCUGAGGAAUGGUUUAUUGCAAAAGCAAUGACACGCUCCACUGCUUGGGAAGAGUUAAAGACAAGCUGCUGUGCAAGUUUGCUCCUCACAAGGAGUGUGUGUGCCAAACCACCUUCUCCCAAGCCUUGUUCUCUCUAUUCCCCUGGGAAAGACAUUGAUGGACAUACUUCACCUUCAACAUGAAGUAACAGCAGGCUUUAUUUCUGCAGAGAAUCCAGACACGUUAUGCAGGCAAGAACAUU